rnacentral:rRNA from 1 species
AUCAAUAAGGACAGGCGGGGGCAUUCGUAUUGCGGCGUUAGAGGUGAAAUUCUUGGAUCGUCGCAAGACGCACUAGAGCGAAAGCAUUUGCCAAGUAUGUCUUAAUUGAUCAAGAACGAAAGUUAGAGGUUCGAAGGCGAUCAGAUACCGCCCUAGUUCUAACCAUAAACGAUGCAAGCCAGCGAUCCGCCGACGUUCCUCCGAUGACUCGGCGGGGAGCUUCCCCCGGGAAACCAAAAGCUUUUGGGUUCCGGGGGAAGUAUGG